CUCACAAAAUGGCUGCCCCGGGAGGCGGCGGAAGGAUCUAGGACGUGCAACCAAAGAGUCCUCCGAUGCGGCGGAGAAAGAUCGGGCUGGUCCCGCGCUCGCUCCGCUGCAGCGGGAGCUGUGGGAAAUGUGGGAAUUUCUCCUUCUUUUCCCCGUCCUUCUCCCGCCCCGGGGCCGUCGGGAGAGGCCUGGCAGGGGAGCGUUCUCCUCUGGCGGAAGGAUAUCAAUCUGUGGGGCGCCGUGACGCGUCCCUGGGGUUAGAUUCGGCAGAGGCGGUUUUGCGCCAAGGAUAAAAUGGCGGCGGCGCCUCACUGAGGCGGGCUGGCUUGGCUGUCUUUUGGGACUUUGAAAAUUAGGGUUUCUGAACAUAUAUCUAUUUAUAUGUGUGUAUUUUAGUAGUUCGAGCAUACCCGUCUCCUCUGUGUGCCUUCCAGUUUAGGAUUUAGCCUCCCUCAGGCUGCUAAUCCCCCCACUUUAAGGUUGGUACCCGCUUGGGUGCCCCUGACUUGCCCAAAAUGCCCUUUUUUGAGGCUUAAUUUUUCCAUGCUUAAGUCUUCCACAGCAUGUGCAAAGACAUGGAGGUGAGUUCUCAGUUCACUGUAAAGAGAUGUGAGACAUUUUAAUGCUAAAGAACUUUAUGUUAGUCUAUGUGUCCACAGGAAUGUGUAUGUUUUUAACUGAUUUUAUUUAAAGUUCCAUAAUAAAUACUUCUCCUGCAGGUUUUCCUAGGUGGGAACACAGAAGUCAAACAGCUCUGCAGAGGAGAGUUUACAUUUUUCACCUCUGGUUUUACACAGAUGGUUCAAAAUCAGCACACUGGAUUAUUUCUGGAGAUUACAGGAGAGCUGCACCCAAUUUUCAUAGUAGAAUGCAGAUUUUUUUCUGAUUUUUGCACAUUUCUGGCACUUUUUAAGUGCUGCCUCAGCCUGCCCCCAGCCACAUACCACUCAACUCUCAGGAUGAUUUUGGGAUGCUCUACAUCACUUCAUCCCAAUCAGACCCAAAAAAAAGCACAUUCAAUAAGACAAACCAAUCCCAGAAAACAAUCUUGGGGAGGGAAAAAAACCUGAUUAAAAGCCAAAAAUUAUUCCAGGUUGGGUUUUUCCCCCCCAUCUUGAGAUGAUGCUCAGGAAUAAAUCUCAGCAGGUGAAAAUCUCCCCAGAGAAAACUCAAGGCUUCCACUUGAAUGAAUGCAGCAUUGUCUGUUGUUGUUUUUAAAGGGAUUGAUUGAGUGGAAAACCUGAAAUAUUUUCAUUUGGGGGUAAGAUCAAACUGAAUUCUCCAUCUUUCAGCUCCGUCCCAUCACCCUUCCAGACCCCACAAUGUACCCAGCGUCUGUCCCAGUCAGGAGCUGCACCGGGAGUAAACCACGUGGGACAUAAAGGAUGAGAAAAAUCAAAUUUGGGGCAGUAAACACCCAGCCUUGACCCCACCAAGCAAGGUCAGAGCACUUCCAUGUCUAUUUACCCUCCUGGAUAUAAUUUUUCCUGCUUGGGCUCACAGCACAAGGCUCAAAGUGAUGAUUUUUUUGUAAGAAGGAGGUUUGUGCUGAUAUCUUGGGCGCGUCCCUGCCCCUUCCACCUCACAUUCCCGAGGGGAAGGUUGAGGGACAAAGAGGAUUUUUGGGAAAUUGGGCCAGGGGAGUGCAGGGGGUCUCUGCUUCCUGCGAAACCAGGGCGAUUCCCAUUGCUCCUCCGUGCCCCGUUUGCACAAAUGAGUUUCUUAAAAAA